rnacentral:rRNA from 1 species
AUUGAACGCUGGCGGCAUGCCUUACACAUGCAAGUCGAACGGCAGCACGGGAGCAAUCCUGGUGGCGAGUGGCGAACGGGUGAGUAAUAUAUCGGAACGUGCCCGGUCGUGGGGGAUAACGUAGCGAAAGCUACGCUAAUACCGCAUACGAUCUACGGAUGAAAGCGGGGGAUCGCAAGACCUCGCGCGAUUGGAGCGGCCGAUAUCAGAUUAGGUAGUUGGUGAGGUAAAGGCUCACCAAGCCGACGAUCUGUAGCUGGUCUGAGAGGACGACCAGCCACACUGGGACUGAGACACGGCCCAGACUCCUACGGGAGGCAGCAGUGGGGAAUUUUGGACAAUGGACGCAAGCCUGAUCCAGCAAUGCCGCGUGCAGGAUGAAGGCCUCGGUU